CCCUCUACAUUUAAACCAUUUUAAACUGUCAUGGCUUCACUCAAAGCAUCAUGGGAAACUGCAGCUUGCGAAGGCUGCAGAGAGUUGUCAGAAGACCUAUUCCCCUCACAGGGCUAUAAUUCCCAGAUUGGUUUAAGAGUCAAUCCCUCUUCCCAGGAAAACUCUGGGAAUUGAAUCUCUGUGAAAGAGGGGGAAAGGGGUGUCCUAAUAACUCUCUGCACUUUUAUCAAACUUAACAGUUCUUGGGAUUCUUUGGGGGAAGAAGCCAUGCCUGUUUAAAGUCACAUCUUUUUGCUUUAAAUGUAUCAUGCAGGUUGGGUCUUAAGAAAGAGCCCGUCGAAUUUUGACAGUUGAGGGAAAAGGGGAGUCGAUAAGGUAUGUUUAUAUUCCAGGCCAGGUUCAAGGUUCUUCUGCUGAUAUACAACACCCUGAGCAGCUUGGGCCCAGGGUACCUUAAAGACUGUCUGAACCUUCAUAUAUCCCAGCCAGAUCACUGAGAUUAUCCAGGUUUUCCCAGUAUUUUUGUUACUUCUACAAAUAUUUCAUCCCAGAACUGGGCAACUUCGGCACUUUACCACCACAUGUGUAUGAAGGAACCAUGAACUGGACUUCCCCUGCAGCAAGCAGCUGAGUAGGAUUUUAGUGCUUUUUUUAAAAGGCAUUAAAUGUCAUUU